CUGUAAGCCGUUGAAGGUGGCCUGUGAGGGUUGCUGGAGGUAUCAGAAGUGCGAAUGCUGACAUAAGUAACGAUAAAGCGGGUGAAAAGCCCGCUCGCCGGAAGACCAAGGGUUCCUGUCCAACGUUAAUCGGGGCAGGGUGAGUCGACCCCUAAGGCGAGGCCGAAAGGCGUAGUCGAUGGGAAACAGGUUAAUAUUCCUGUACUUGGUGUUACUGCGAAGGGGGGACGGAGAAGGCUAUGUCGGCCGGGCGACGGUUGUCCCGGUUUAAGCGUGUAGGUGUGUGCUCCAGGCAAAUCCGGUGCACUUUAACACUGAGGCGUGAUGACGAGGCACUACGGUGCUGAAGUGACAAAUGCCCUGCUUCCAGGAAAAGCCUCUAAGCAU
rnacentral:rRNA from 1 species